GACGAACGCUGGCGGCGUGCUUAACACAUGCAAGUCGAACGGAAAGGCCCUGCUCUUGUGGGGUUCUCGUGUGCCGAACGGGUGAGUAACACGUGUGUAUCCUGCCCCUGUCUUUGUGAUAACAUCACGAAACUGGGGCUCAUACAGGGUAUGAGCUCCUGCUGCACGUUGGGCGAUGGAAAGUUUCGGCGGUGCGGGCUGGACUCGCUGCUUAUCCGCUUGUUGGUGGGGUAGGUGCUUACCAAGGUUUUGACGGGUAGGCGGCCUGAGAGGGUGACCGGGCACAAUGGGACUGAGAUACGGACCAGACUCCUACGGGAGGCAGCAGGGGGGAGUAUUGCGGAAUGGGGGGGAGCCUGAGGCGGCGACGCCGCGUGCGGGAUGACGGCCUUCGGGUUGUGAACCGCUGUCGCCUGUGACGAAGCGGGAGUGACGGUAAUGGGUAAAGAAGCACCGGCUAACUACGUG
rnacentral:rRNA from 1 species